GCUCAGGAUUAACGCUGGCGGCAUGCCUAAUACAUGCAAGUCGAACGAAAGUGGAGCAAUCUACUUUAGUGGCGAACGGGUGAGUAACACGUAUCUAACCUACCAUUUAGUGGGGAAUAACUGUUGGAAACGACAGCUAAUACCGCAUAUGUUAUUUAUUUGCAAUAAUAAAUAAUAAAAGGAGCAUUUGCUUCGCUAAUUGAUGGGGAUGCGGCGCAUUAACUAGUUGGUAAGGUAAUGGCUUACCAAGGUAACGAUGCGUAGCCGAUCUGAGAGGAUGAACGGCCACAUUGGGACUGAGACACGGCCCAAACUUCUACGGAAGGCAGCAGUAGGGAAUUUUUCACAAUGGGCGAAAGCCUGAUGGAGCAAUGCCGCGUGACUGAUGAAGGUCUUCGGAUUGUAAAGGUCUGUUGUAAGGGAAGAAGUACUAGAAUAGGAAAUGAUUUUAGUAUCGACCAUACCUUA
rnacentral:rRNA from 1 species